rnacentral:rRNA from 1 species
GGCUCAGGAUGAACGCUAGCUACAGGCUUAACACAUGCAAGUCGAGGGCAGCAUUAUCGAAGCUUGCUUUGAUAGAUGGCGACCGGCGCACGGGUGAGUAACGCGUAUCCAACCUUCCCCAUAGUCAGGAAUAGCCCGGCGAAAGUCGAAUUAAUGCCUGAUGUUUUCCACGGACGGCAUCUGAUGUGGAACAAAGAUUCAUCGCUAUGGGAUGGGGAUGCGUCUGAUUAGCUUGUUGGCGGGGUAACGGCCCACCAAGGCAACGAUCAGUAGGGGUUCUGAGAGGAAGGUCCCCCACACUGGAACUGAGACACGGUCCAAACUCCUACGGGAGGCAGCAGUGAGGAAUAUUGGUCAAUGGGCGGAAGCCUGAACCAGCCAAGUAGCGUGAGGGAUGACUGCCCUAUGGGUUGUAAACCUCUUUUAUAAGGGAAUAAAAUACGGGACGUGUCCUGUUUUGCAUGUACCUUAUGAAUAAGGACCGGCUAAUUCCGUG